rnacentral:lncRNA from 1 species
GAUAGUACCACAAGCAGAUGACACAAAGAAGAACACAGACUGUUUAGAUCAUAUACUUUGUGUCUGUCGAUUUGGCAAGAAAACAAAUUAUCAGCACAUUUGUGGCAAGUGGAUGAUGGCAUGACCCCCAUUCUCAUAGCCAUGCUGUAUCUUGGUGAGGACUGAUUCUGGACCCCAGGAACCCUGUGCUGGUAGGUCUCUGUGAGGAUCUCUCCCUGUCGAAGGGAGUCACUGAGAGUGCGGCAGUGAAGUGAAGUGAAGGAAAUUUCAUAAACCCUCCCCCUGGGCUUAUUCAUGCUCCGUGUUCUCACCAGAAAGUCCUGCAACCAUGUGGUGUGUGGAGGUCAUAGGAAGCCAUAAGUAUCUGAUACCUAAAUAAGGAAGCCCAGAGUCUGGGACAGAAGCCAUAAAUAGAAUACAACAGACACCCUCAUAUCACACACAAUCUCUCAGUAUAUCCAAGCACCAUUGUGUCCUAAAGAGAGAAUAUGAUCUUUCUCUGUCAAUCAACAAUCCCAAUAGACUCUUUCUAUUCGACGAAGGUACUGCCUAUCCCUAAAUGCAUCAAAGAUUAAAGUCCCAAGAUCUACAAUAUGAGGCAGAAUUCUCCCUGUAUGCUGUGACCCCAGCCCUGGGGGGUACCU